rnacentral:tRNA from 1 species
AUUUGUUUAGUAUACUAGUAUAUUUGACUUCCAAUCAAAAGGUUUGUGUUAAACAGAACAAAUA